GAUCCUGGCUCAGAACGAACGCUAGCGGCGCGUCUGAUUCAGGCAAGUCGAGCGUGAACGCUCCUUCGGGAGUUAGUAAAGCGGCGGACUGCUGAGUAAUACGCAGGCAACCUGCCCGUGGGCUUGGGAUAACCGGCCGAAAGGCCGGCUAAUACCGAAUAUAAUGCCGGAUCGCAUGGUCCGGUAUGAAAGGUUGGUGCCCUUCGGGGUCUUCCGUUCACGGAUGGGCCUGCGGCCUAUUAGCUUGUUGGUGGGGUAACGGCCCACCAAGGCGGAGAUGGGUAGCCGGGCAGAGAGGCUGAUCGGCCAGACUGGGACUGAGACACUGCCCAGACCCCUACGGGGGGCAGCCGAGGAGGAUCAUCGCCAAUGAGCGCAAGCUUGAGCGUGCGACGCCGCGUGAGGGAAGAAGGCCUUCGGGUCGUAAACCUCUGUCAGGGAACAGGAAGGCUUGAUGGGUCAAUAGCCCGUCAGGUUGACCAUUCCCAAAGGAAGGGCCUGCUAACUUCGUGCCAGCAGCCGCGGUAAUAACGGAGGGCCCGAGCGUUGUCCGGAUUUACUGGGCGUAAAGGGCGUCUAGGCGGGCUCGUCAGUCGGGUAUGAAAGCCCUCGGCUCAACCGGGGAAUGGUGUCCGAUACUGCGAGCCCCUGAGUGCAGCAGAGGAGAGUGGAACUCCUGGUGGAACCGCUGAAAAUGCGUAGAUAUCAGGGAGGGUACCUCCGGAUGCGAAAGCGAACUUCUCUGGGUUGUAACCUGACGCUGAAGCGCGAAAGCAAGGGGGGAGCGACGGGGAAUUAGAUACCCCGGUAGUCCUGGGCCGUAAACGAUGGGCACUAGGUUAGAGGAGGUUCUGACGCCUUUUCUGCCGUAGCUAACGCAUUAAGGUGCCCCGCCUGGGGGAGUUACGGUCGCAAGACUUAAACUCAAAGGAAUUGACGGGGGCUCGCACAAGCGGUGGAGCAUGUGGCUUAAUUCGAGGCAACGCGAAGAACCUUAUCCUGGGCUUGACAUGCCGGUGGUACAACCCUGAAAGGGGAAGGACUCUCUUUUAACCGAAGGAGCCUGGCACAGGUGCUGCAUGGCUGUCGUCAGCUCGUGUCGUGAGAUGUUGGGUUAAGUCCUGUAACGAGCGAAACCCUUGUCGUUAGUUGCCAGCGGGUAAUGCCGGGGACUCUAGCGAGACUGCCGGUGUCAAACCGGAGGAAGGUGGGGAUGACGUCAAGUCCUCAUGGCCCUUAUGCCCAGGGCUGCACACGUGCUACAAUGGCCGGUACAGAGGGAAGCAAGACCGUGAGGUGGAGCGAAUCCCUAAAAGCCGGUCCCAGUUCGGAUUGGAGGCUGCAACCCGCCUCCAUGAAGUUGGAAUCGCUAGUAAUCGCGGAUCAGCUAUGCCGCGGUGAUAUGUUCCCGAGCCU
rnacentral:rRNA from 1 species